UGCAUGGUGGCGUAGUUAGUAGCACUGUGCACUGACCUUGCAGCAAGAAGGUCCUGGGUUCAACUCCCAGCCGGGGGUCUUUCUGCAU